AGGAAAUUCACUUGCUUAGAAGAAGCCAAACAGUGUCAUAUGCAAUUACAAAAUUUUCUUCAACAAGGCCACACCUACUCUAACAAGGCCUAAUUCUUCUAAUCCUUUCAAAUACACUGCUCUCUGAUAACCAAACAUUCAAAAAUAUGAGCCUACGGGGGACAUUCUUAUUCAAACCACAAAAGAGCUCAAGGAACACUUUGGAAGAGGAAGCAAAACAAUUGUCAGAGCCAUAGGGCAUGGAGAAGAGGACACUAAGGCAUUGUUAUCACUGCAAGAACAAUGCACAUAUGAACUCACAGGUGAUUACAGUUAAGGGACUGCAUAAAUCUCAGAAGAGACUUUGAAUUUGGGACUUUUAAACAAUGUUGAGACUUGUUUUAGACUACGGGGACUUUUGAAGUGCAUUUUGCCUGUGAUAUGGCCCUAUGGGGUCCAUGGAGUGGAAUGUGGUGGUUUGAAUAAAAAUGACCCCCACAGGUCCAUAAGGAUUGCUGCUAUUGGGAGGUAUGGCCUUGUUGGAGUAGGUGUAGCAUUGUUGAAGGAAGUGUGGCUCAAUUUACUUCCUGCUGUCUGAGGAUCAAGAUGUAACACUCUCAUCUCAGCUCCUUCUCCAGAAUCAUGUCAGCCUGCAUGCCACCUGCCAUGACCAUAAUGGACUAAACCUCUGAAACU
rnacentral:lncRNA from 1 species